UAAAAACAAAAAAUACAAAGGUAGUUCAAAAAGCCUAAAGACAAAAUAGAAAAUAGACCCAAACUAAAACAAAAAAAAUAGACCCAACCUACACAAAAAAUAAAAGAAAAAAUGAAACGACUCAAUCUAUCCAGUCAACUGGCAACUGACCUCUAUCAAAUCAUCAUUAAAGCGCAUUUAAUGCUUUCGCCAGAUAACAAGGGAAGAUAUCAGUUUCUAAGAAGAAAUCCCCCAAAACGUUUGUCUGUUACCCAUUGCUUUUAAAAAAACUCUCCCCUUUCCAAAUCAGUCCGGAACGCCACCUACCAGGAGUCGCCUUCGAUUGUCACACACUCUAGUCCCAACCGAAGGCCUAACCGCAACGCCCGAGCCUCCGCAGCAAGCAGAGAAUAAAUUACUUUGUGCCAGAUGGUCAUAGAAGCCAUGAUUUCCUCCGAUGAGUUCCUUGCCACCACCCCAAAACCAGAUCUUGCCUGAUGGGGGUCAAAAGCACCAUUGAAGUUGAUCUUGCCUAAAACCCAUGUCUCAUGAACAGUCCUACGGGUAAGAGUUUUCUUUUCUAAACCAUCUAGUUCUCUUAAAUAAUUAGUGUUUUAGUCUGAGAUCUCUUUUCCUAACAUAUUUUUCCUUUCAUGCAUGAGGUGAUUUCUACUUAUCCGGAGUGCCCAUAGACCACAACAAAAAAGCCUACAUUGUUUAUUGGUGGUAGUUCGAAAACCUAGAUAAUCCAAUCCCAAGAGUUACUAUCUGAAUUAUUUAAUAUCCAUCAGAUAUUUUUUUUGGAAAAGAACAUGUUUAAAAAAUGUAGCGGAAAAUAAAUUUAGGAAAAACCAGAGUUUUAAAAUUAUUCCAAAAGCAAGAUCUUGAUUAUGAUAUUUAAAGUAAUAAAUACUUAAUUAGAAUUGUACCUUUUUGAUUCAUCUAGGAUGAGCGCUUCAACCGAGUGGUCUUCUCCGCUAUCCUCAAGCUCACGUCCGCCGAGUAUGGGCUCGCUUCGAAUCAGAAAAAUUUUCACAAAAAUUACCAGUGGGGUAAUUUCGUAAUUUCUCUAAACUUUUUGGUCAAGUUGUAAUUUAGAAAAAUAUCUCUAGAAAUUUUCUGGAAUAAUCUCUUCAGAUAA